UACGAAGGGGGCUAGCGUUGCUCGGAAUCACUGGGCGUAAAGCGCACGUAGGCGGAUCUUUAAGUCAGGGGUGAAAUCCUGGAGCUCAACUCCGGAACUGCCUUUGAUACUGAGGAUCUCGAGUCCGGGAGAGGUGAGUGGAACUGCGAGUGUAGAGGUGAAAUUCGUAGAUAUUCGCAAGAACACCAGUGGCGAAGGCGGCUCACUGGCCCGGUACUGACGCUGAGGUGCGAAAGCGUGGGGAGCAAACAGG
rnacentral:rRNA from 1 species